GCCACCAUAGCUCAGUGGUUAGAGCACUGGUCUUGAGUCGCGAGUCCUGGUUUACAAGACCAGUGCACUGGUCUCUGGCUCGCGAGUUCAAUCCUCACUGGUGGCU